UACGAAGGGGGCUAGCGUUGCUCGGAAUCACUGGGCGUAAAGGGUGCGUAGGCGGGUCUUUAAGUCAGGGGUGAAAUCCUGGAGCUCAACUCCAGAACUGCCUUUGAUACUGGGAGUCUUGAGUUCGGGAGAGGUGAGUGGAACUGCGAGUGUAGAGGUGAAAUUCGUAGAUAUUCGCAAGAACACCAGUGGCGAAGGCGGCUCACUGGCCCGAUACUGACGCUGAGGCACGAAAGCGUGGGGAGCAAACAGG
rnacentral:rRNA from 1 species